rnacentral:rRNA from 1 species
GAUGAACGCUGACAGAAUGCUUAACACAUGCAAGUCGAUGGGGAAGUGGUGCUUGCACCUUGGCAACCCUGGCGGACGGGUGAGUAACGCGUAAGGGACUCACCUGCAGGACUGGGAUAACAGGGGGAAACUCCUGACAAGACCGGACAAUGUCAUGGAGCUGCAUGGCUUUAUGAUGAAAGGAGACGCCUGCGGAGAGCCUUGCGUCCUAUUAGCUAGUUGGUGAGGUAAUGGCUCACCAAGGCGAAGAUAGGUAGCCGGCCUGAGAGGGUGGACGGCCACAAGGGGACUGAGAUACGGCCCUUACUCCUACGGGAGGGAGCAGUGGGGAAUAUUGGACAAUGGGGGCAACCCUGAUCCAGCAAUUCUGUGUGCACGAAGAAGGUUUUCGGAGUGUAAAGUGCUUUCAGCAGGGAAAGAGUAAGUGACGGUACCUGCAGAAGAAGCGACGGCUAAAUACGUG